rnacentral:rRNA from 1 species
GAUGAACGCUGGCGGCGUGCCUAAUACAUGCAAGUCGAGCGAACGGACGAGAAGCUUGCUUCUCUGAUGUUAGCGGCGGACGGGUGAGUAACACGUGGAUAACCUACCUAUAAGACUGGGAUAACUUCGGGAAACCGUAGCUAAUACCGGAUAAUAUUUUGAACCGCAUGGUUCAAAAGUGAAAGUCGGUCUUGCGGUCACUUAUAGAUGGAUCCGCGCUGCAUUAGCUAGUUGGUAAGGUAACGGCUUACCAAGGCAACGAUGCAUAGCCGACCUGAGAGGGUGAUCGGCCACACUGGAACUGAGACACGGUCCAGACUCCUACGGGAGGCAGCAGUAGGGAAUCUUCCGCAAAGGGCGAAAGCCUGACGGAGCAACGCCGCGUGAGUGAUGAAGGUCUUCGGAUCGUAAAACUCUGUUAUUAGGGAAGAACAUAUGUGUAAGUAACUGUGCACAUCUUGACGGUACCUAAUCAGAAAGCCACGGCUAACUACGUG